ensembl:misc_RNA
GUGACAAGCCUGGAGACUGAAAGCCUCUUUAUCCACAGAAGUAGUACAACUAAGGCAGUGAUGCAAGCUUCCCCAUAUUGUCCUUCCAAUGUAUUUCAACCUCAGCAUAAGAGAGACCACUUCUAUAGAUGAGAGAUAACCAAGCUUUCGGACCCUACCAAUAAAGGUGCCAGU